AAUCAUGGGAUCAACACUAACCACUCUGACUGAUCAUGGCAGAGCUAGUUCUUCGGGCCUAGCCAGUCGGGACUGAUUACUGGCAUCUGCUAAUACAUUGUAUGUGUGUAUGUAUAUGUUUUAAAGCUAGUCUCUUUAUCUUAUCAUGGCGCUAAUCAUGGUCAUGUGAAUCAGAACUAGUUCCUUCAAGGCCUAGCUAGUUCGA
rnacentral:lncRNA from 1 species